UACGUAGGGUGCGAGCGUUGUCCGGAAUUAUUGGGCGUAAAGAGCUUGUAGGUGGUUUGUCGCGUCUGCUGUGAAAAUCCGAGGCUCAACCUCGGACUUGCAGUGGGUACGGGCAGACUAGAGUGUGGUAGGGGAGACUGGAAUCCCUGGUGUAGCGGUGGAAUGCGCAGAUAUCAGGAGGAACACCGAUGGCGAAGGCAGGUCUCUGGGCCAUUACUGACACUGAGAAGCGAAAGCAUGGGGAGCGAACAGG
rnacentral:rRNA from 1 species